rnacentral:rRNA from 1 species
AGCCACAGCCAUAUCACCCUGCAGCCCAAGACCAGUUACUCACUGAAGCCAAGCAGGGCUGAGCCUGGGCAGUACCUGGAUGGGAGACAACAUAGAAAAACUGGGUUGCUGUUGGAA